GCCGCUACACUGUGAAGUAAACAUACUCGAUCGACUUGUUUGAGCAACAGACAUAAUGACUGGAGCUGCGAAAAGUUAAGCCACACUGUGAAACAUGUGAUAAAAACCUUUCUAUUCGAAUGAAAGCAAUGCUCGAUUUGGCUCGCCGCAGCGUCGUCUCUAUAGUGAAUCAAACAUCAGGCUUCGAACUUAAAGCUAGUAAGGCAACAAGCUACUAGAAGGACUACAGCCCGUUCACCGUGAUGAUACGCUGAACCUGUCUGCCGUCGCAUUGCGCUUGUAUAU